rnacentral:rRNA from 1 species
AUUGAACGCUGGCGGCAGGCCUAACACAUGCAAGUCGAACGGUAACAGGAAGAAGCUUGCUUCUUUGCUGACGAGUGGCGGACGGGUGAGUAAUGUCUGGGAAACUGCCUGAUGGAGGGGGAUAACUACUGGAAACGGUAGCUAAUACCGCAUAACGUCGCAAGACCAAAGAGGGGGACCUUCGGGCCUCUUGCCAUCGGAUGUGCCCAGAUGGGAUUAGCUUGUUGGUGGGGUAACGGCUCACCAAGGCGACGACCCCUAGCUGGUCUGAGAGGAUGACCAGCCACACUGGAACUGAGACACGGUCCAGACUCCUACGGGAGGCAGCAGUGGGGAAUAUUGCACAAUGGGCGCAGGCCUGAUGCAGCCAUGCCGCGUGUAUGAAGAAGGCCUUCGGGUUGUAAAGUACUUUCAGCGGGGAGGAAGGGAGUAAAGUUAAUACCUUUGCUCAUUGACGUUACCCGCAGAAGAAGCACCGGCUAACUCCGUG